rnacentral:rRNA from 1 species
AGCAUCUAUACUGUGAAACUGCGAAUGGCUCAUUAAAUCAGUUAUCGUUUAUUUGAUAGUACCUUACUACUUGGAUAACCGUGGUAAUUCUAGAGCUAAUACAUGCUAAAAACCUCGACUUCGGAAGGGGUGUAUUUAUUAGAUAAAAAACCAAUGCCCUUCGGGGCUCCUUGGUGAAUCAUGAUAACUUAACGAAUCGCAUGGCCUUGCGCCGGCGAUGGUUCAUUCAAAUUUCUGCCCUAUCAACUUUCGAUGGUAGCAUAGUGGGCUACCAUGGUAUCAACGGGUAACGGGGAAUUAGGGUUCUAUUCCGGAGAGGGAGCCUGAGAAACGGCUACCACAUCCAAGGAAGGCAGCAGGCGCGCAAAUUACCCAAUCCCGACACGGGGAGGUAGUGACAAUAAAUACUGAUACAGGGCUCUUUUGGGUCUUGUAAUUGGAAUGAGUACAAUUUAAAUACCUUAACGAGGAACAAUUGGAGGGCAAGUCUGGUGCCAGCAGCCGCGGUAAUUCCAGCUCCAAUAGCGUAUAUUAAAGUUGUUGCAGUUAAAAAGCUCGUAGUUGAACCUUGGGCCUGGCUGGCCGGUCUGCCUCACCGCAUGUACUGGUUCGGCCGGGCCUUUCCUCCUGGGGAUCCGCAUGCCCUUCACUGGGCGUGUUGGGGAACCAGGACUUUUACUUUGAAAAAAUUAGAGUGUUCAAAGCAGGCCUUUGCUCGAAUACAUUAGCAUGGAAUAAUAGAAUAGGACGUGCGGUCCUAUUUUGUUGGUUUCUAGGACCGCCGUAAUGAUUAAUAGGGAUAGUCGGGGGCAUCAGUAUUCAGUUGUCAGAGGUGAAAUUCUUGGAUUUACUGAAGACUAACUACUGCGAAAGCAUUUGCCAAGGGAUGUUUUCAUUAAUCAGUGAACGAAAGUUAGGGGAUCGAAGACGAUCAGAUACCGUCGUAGUCUUAACCGUAAACUAUGCCGACUAGGGAUCGGGCGAUGUUAUUCUUUUGACUCGCUCGGCACCUUACGAGAAAUCAAAGUC